rnacentral:rRNA from 1 species
UACGUAGGCAGCGAGCGUUGUUCGGAGUUACUGGGCGUAAAGGGUGCGUAGGCGGUUUUUUAAGUUUGGUGUGAAAUCUCCCGGCUCAACUGGGAGGGUGCGCCGAAUACUGAAUGACUAGAGUGCGGGAGAGGAGAGUGGAAUUCCUGGUGUAGCGGUGAAAUGCGUAGAUAUCAGGAGGAACACCGGUGGUGUAGACGGCUCUCUGGACCGUAACUGACGCUGAGGAACGAAAGCGUGGGUAGCAAACAGG